AACUCAAGGGCUUGCCUAACUUAGAG
rnacentral:piRNA from 1 species